UUUUUAUUGUCCAUUAUUGAGCAUGAGGAACUUGGUGCUCCAGCUUUGGGUGGGUCUCUACCCACCCACUUCAGAGCACGUCUGAAGUGACUUUACUGAGCUGAGCGUUACCACCAUAGUGAGUGCUAUUGGUAACCUGCCCAGAUCACCUUACUGGCUGGUGCAUCAGCCCCUCCCCUUAGUUUCUGCGAGUGUGCAAAUCAGUGGGAGACCAGGUAUCCCCUUUGAUCUUCUUCAUCUAAAGUGUCUUCCUACUUAUGUGAUUCUGUGUACUAUGGAGCUCUUAGGAAAUAGAAAUGGAAGUUGAAGUUAUUAGAAGUGAAAGGAUCAGCCUACAAAAAUAGCUUCCAACAGAUAAAAUCCAGCAUCUGCUCCAUUUCUCUCCAGUUAGGAAUGCGCAGCCAAACUAGGGUAAUAUCAGCAGGACACCAGUUAUAUUUCUCUGGAUAAAUGGUUAAUUUUCUUCUUUCUUUUUUUUCUUUUCUUUUCAGACGGAGUCUUGCUCUGUCACCCAAGCUGGAGUACAGUGGUACAAUCUCGGCUCACUGCAACCUCCGCCUCCUGGGUUCAAGCGAUUCUCCUGCCUCAGCCUCCCAAGUAGCUGGGAUUACAGAAGCGCACCACCACACCUGGUUAAUUUUUGUAUUUUUAGUAGAGACGAGGUUUCACCAUGUUGGCCAGGCUGGUCUCAAACUUCUGACCUCAAGUGAUCCACCCACCUCGGCCUCCCAAAGUGCUGGGAUUACAGGCAUGAGCCACCACGCCUGGCCAGAGUUGUCUUGAUAGAGAUCACUUGCUCUGGGGGAAACCAGCAGCCAUGUUGUGAGGACACCCAAGCAGCUCUAUGGAGAGGCCUACAUGGAGAGUAACCAAGGUCCCCUAUCAAUAGCCAGCAAGGAACAGAAGCCUCCUGCCAACAGUCACGUGUGAGCCAUGUUGAGAGCAGAUCUUUCAGUCCCAGUCAGACCUUCCAAUAAUUGUAGCCCUAGCUGAGAAUUUGACUGAAAUAUCCGGAACCACAUCUGCCUAGUUAAGCCACUCCCAAAUUUAUAACCCACAGAACAGAAACUACAUACAAUAAUACAUAAUUGUUUAUUGUUUUAGGCUGUUAUGUUUUGGGAAUAAUUUGUUAUGCAGCAUUAGAUGACAUAUACAUUCCGUCACAUAAAAUUACACUUCAUCAGAUCAGGAUGGUUGGUUUGUGUUUGUGGUGGGUAUUUAUGUGUAUUAGUAACCAGUGGAGGCCUGACAGUAAUCACUAGGGGACCAAUGGCUCAGGCAGGCAGAGUGUUCCCUGCCUCAGGGCCUGGCAUUCUGAUGCAGAAGGCCAGGUGUUGGUGUGGUGGCCAUCUUUGGGCCUUCUGGUCCUGAUUGGUUGGGUUACAGUGCCAGGAUCCCUGUACUGAGGUUUCAGGUAGGUUAGCUUGGGGGAAGGCAUAUGACACACAGGCAGUUUUGGAUUUGGGGCUUGGACCUGGGUUCCAUGGAAAUCAGGCAUUGCAACAUCUUCGUUAGCCUUGCCAGGAGAGAUUGGUGUGAAAUAAUUUAUCCUGUUUCUCCUGGUCACAUGUCCCUAUUAUUCCAUUGCAGUUUGUAUAUAUAUGUGAAGUUUUGGUGCUGGAUUGAGAAGGGAAGGGAUUUGGGAGGGAAGUUAGAAAUUAUUUUAAUUGUACAGCUUAUGAAAUUGCUGUAAAAAUCUUCGUCUCUCUGCCAGGGCUUUGCCUGACUUUCUGAGUCUGGGGGAUUCUCCUGAGAACCCCUGGGGGCCUGGUUGGGUGGUGGCUGUAACAGUUGAUGAGGUUAAGGUGGCUGACUCUCUUUAGAACACUCAGAGACAUGGGUGAGAGGGUCUCUGGGGCCCUCUGAGGCCUCACUGCUUACCUGGGUCUGGGAGCACAGAGUGGAGGAAAGGAAGGAGCUGUGUGCAAGAUAGCUGGGCUGUUGCAGAGUCCUGGACUGUGACUCCCACCCUACCUAGGCUCUGCCCUUGCCAUCAAGGCCUUCUUAAUGGUCUGGCCCCUGGCUUCUUCCCCCUAAGAAAUAUUCUGCAUAGAACCAUGAUAUGACACUAAGUGAACAUAGAAUCCCCAGAGACAACGCUCUGCAUUGUACCUUUUGCAAAACUCUUCAGAGAAACCAUCUUCAAGGUCUUUUGUACAAUAAUCAUGUUAUCAAAUUCCUUUUAGAAUUUGGUGCAUGAAAAAGAUUUUUCUGCCCUGGGUAAGGCAGGUUUCCUUCCAAGAUAAGAGGCACUGGGCAACUCACUCGCUCCUGUGAUUCACUGUUUUCACUCCCUGUUUUGUGCUCCAUGGUGUAAGCUUCCCUUGGGCUGGGUACUGGGGUAUCACCAGUCUUCCCACCAAUCCCCACUCUCCAUGACUGGUCUUUGGUCCAUUUACCUUUAUUUUCAUUCACUUUCAUUUACUUUGAUUCAUUUAUCUAUUUGUAGAGACAAGGGUCUUGCUCUGUUGCUCAGGCUCAUCUGAAACCCCUGGCCUCCCACUUCAGCCUCUUAAAGUGUUGGGAUUACAGGUGUGAGCCACCACUCCUGGCCAGACUUGUUGUUGUUAAGACAGCGUCUCACUCUGUUGCCCAGACUGGAGUGCAGUGACGUGAUCUUAGC
rnacentral:lncRNA from 1 species